AGAGUUUGAUCCUGGCUCAGAUUGAACGCUGGCGGCAUGCCUUACACACGCAAGUCGAACGGCAGCACGGGAGCAAUCCUGGUGGCGAGUGGCGAACGGGUGAGUAAUAUAUCGGAACGUGCCCAGUAGUGGGGGAUAGCCCGGCGAAAGCCGGAUUAAUACCGCAUACGACCUGAGGGUGAAAGCGGGGGAUCGCAAGACCUCGCGCUAUUGGAGCGGCCGAUAUCAGAUUAGCUAGUUGGUGGGGUAAAGGCCUACCAAGGCUACGAUCUGUAGUUGGUCUGAGAGGAUGAUCAGCCACACUGGGACUGAGACACUGCCCAGACUCCUACGGGAGGCUGCAGUCGAGGAUCUUUUGCAAUGGGCGAAAGCCUGACAAUGCGACGCCGCGUGAGGGAUGAAGGUUUUCGGAUCGUAAACCUCUGUCAAGAGGGAUGAUGCUUAUUCGGAUCAAUACCCCGAAUAAGUGACAGUACCUUUGAAGGAAGCCACGGCUAACUCCGUGCCAGCAGCCGCGGUAAUACGGAGGUGGCAAGCGUUACUCGGAUUUAUUGGGUGUAAAGGGCGUGUAGGCGGUUGCGUAAGUCGAACGUGAAAUCCCACGGCUUAACCGUGGAACUGCAUUCGAAACUGCGCGACUUGAGUAUGGGAGAGGAAAAUGGAAUUCCCGGUGUAAGGGUGAAAUCUGUGGAUAUCGGGAGGAACACCAGUGGCGAAGGCGAUUUUCUGGCCCAUAACUGACGCUGAGAAGCGAAAGCGUGGGGAGCAAACAGGAUUAGAUACCCUGGUAGUCC
rnacentral:rRNA from 1 species